GGAAGUAAAAGUCUAACAAGGUCUCCGUUGGUGAACCAGCGGAGGGAUCAUUACAGAGUUGCAAAACUCCCAAACCAUUGUGAACGUUACCUAUCCCGUUGCUUCGGCGGGCGGCCCGGGCCCCGCGCCCGGCGCCCCCCGGCCCCCCGUGGGCGCCCGCCGGAGGUAAACCAAACCCUUGAAUUGCAUGGCCUCUCUGAGUCUUCUGUACUGAAUAAGUCAAAACUUUCAACAACGGAUCUCUUGGUUCUG
rnacentral:misc_RNA from 1 species